CCUCGGUGCACCACAGAAGCGCUGACUGCGGUUUAACCACAUUUGCCAAGAAUGUAUUUAGUUUUGUAAGUGGCCAUAAACGCCUCAUCGCUGCAGGCUGCAUGCGUCAGGACUGGAGUCUCUGUAGUUGCUGAGCCACUCUUGAUGAAACUCUAUCAGCACUAUCGGAUGCCCGAGUCUGUAAUGUUGGCUGAGCUCGUCAUCUGGCUCCUUCUGACAUCCUGAGAACACGGAUCGAUACCAUCCCACAACACCAGAGGAAGACGGCCAAAGUGAGAAUGAUACAGCAGAAGGCUGAAGAUGCUUUGUCAGGACUGAGAGAGAGAGAGAGGAGGGAGGGAGAGUGAAGAGGGGAUGAGACGGCAACAAACACAGAGAGAAAGAAAGAAUGAAAGUUGAUUCUAAAAAACGCAGAUCAGAAAAGAUGUAAAUUAAGAUGGAAGAGACAUUUUAUUCACUUCCUCUGAUGCAAAUAUGGCAAAUAAAUAAAAUUGGUUUUGCCAAAUACUGCAUGAUAAUUCUGAAGCUUCUCAUCACGAACCGCCUUGUGUUUGGACUCAACAUGGAGGACUUCAGAUCUGUGAUAGAGCUCCUGGAUUGACGCCAAAAAUCUGUUCUGCCUUUCAGACUUCAGGGGUAAACACUGUCACCAGCUCAUAUUCUGGUUCUGUUCUGACCUCUGACCUCGUCAAUACAGUCUUAGGUCAGAUGUAUCAAUUAAUACCACGAUGUAAAUAAAGUCAGGUGCUCAGUAAGGUGUGCAGUCCUGUCAUGCACUGUUGAACUGAGCUGUUACAACUGAAAUAAGCUGCU